ensembl:lncRNA
GCUCUAGGUGGUGGGCGCCUGCUUCUCGGUUCCCCACGACUCCCCUCCUCGCUCAGGCAGCGACUGUUUCUUUCCAGAGCUUCGCGUCUUACGUCUUGGCACAGGGUGAGCAACUAGGUCCUUCAAGACCAUGGGGUGACAGUUCUCUACUGUGCUUGCCGACUGAAGAGAAUCAUUACCUUCAACCGAAGAGAUAAAACAGGACUGCAGGAAUAUGUCAGGGGAAGGCGGGUCCCCUUAAGGAUCAGGAGGACAGGCUUUCCCAGACCCUUCUUCUGUCUUGUGGGAAGGACUUUUCCUGGCUGAGGGCUGUUGUCCAGAAGAAUAGUCACAGAGGGGAGUCUGAGGCUGCUGCUGUCAUCCCUCAAUCUGGCCACCUCGGACUAUUGGUUUCUGUGGCUCAAUCUUGUUGCAUGUGUAGAAUUGGAGGAUGUGGCCCAUGACUAUUAAUUCGUUGGUAUAUCAGAACGUGGAAGCCUGGCAGUCCUCGGGUCACUGGUCUGGGAUGUGGUAUGCUCCUGACCAGGACAGUGGCUACCAGGGGACAUUGGUAUGGCCAGAUGUGUGGCUUGUGUGAGUGGGAAUCAUCUGAACGGAGCCUGGAGGAUGCCACUGGGAAUUCGUGGAGUUUUACAUACAGGACCCAUUUUAGCAUCAAACGGAAUGCUGUAUUCCUCAGGGCCGAAUGAAUGACUGAGCAAGGCUAUGACAGAUGUGCUGGUAAUUAACAGGUAGUAGAAAGUGACCAGGACCUUUAAGACAGUUGUCCCCAAAGGGAGCUGAGAGUUCACAGGAGAAAGACAAUCUUCUUGUGUUCGGAGAAGGCUGAAUGAAGGACAUGGUGUUGUACUCAUCGAGACAUUAGUUGCAAGCUGGGCGAUCCCUGGAACCUAAAGUCUCAGGGGAGACCGCUUUUGCCCAGUGCUGCUUCUCCAUGGGUCAGAGGUUUAAACUUGGACUUGAGAAGUUUCCUGGUGGGGUGAUAGAAAACAGAUGUGAUUGCCUAUGGUUCUGGUGCUCAGAACUCAGGGCCCAUCUGCCUCCUUUUUGUGCUCACAGGACUGACCGAAACUAGGGUCUGAGCUUCAGUUCUUCUUCCACACUCACUAGCAGAUGGAGUAGUUAUGUGUAGCAGAUGGAUGGUGUUAUGU